rnacentral:rRNA from 1 species
GGAUUAAUACCUUAUAGUAAUACGACUUGGCAUCAAGAUGUAUUUAAAGAUUUAUCGGUGAAGAUGAGCAUGNGUCCCAUUAGCUUGUUGGUAAGGUAACGGCUUACCAAGGCAACGAUCGGGUAGGGGUCCUGAGAGGGAGAUCCCCCACACUGGUACUGAGACACGGACCAGACUCCUACGGGAGGCAGCAGUGAGGAAUAUUGGACAAUGGGCGCAAGCCUGAUCCAGCCAUGCCGCGUGCAGGAUGACGGUCCUAUGGAUUGUAAACUGCUUUUGUACAGGAAGAAACCCUUUCACGUGUGGAAGAUUGACGGUACUGUAAGAAUAAGGAUCGGCUAACUCCGUG